CCUACGGGAGGCAGCAGUGGGGAAUAUUGGGCAAUGGGCGCAAGCCUGACCCAGCAAAGCCGCGUGAAGGAAGAAGGCUUUCGGGUUGUAAAAUUCUUUUCUAAGGGACGAAGCAAGUGACGGUACCUGAGGAAUAAGCCACGGUUAAAUACGUGCCAGCAGCCGAGGUAAUACGUAGGUGGCAAUCGUUAUCCGGUAUUACUUGGGGGAAAGGGCGUGGAGGCGGGACUGCAAGUCAGAUGUGAAAACCACGGGCUCAACCUGUGGCCUGCAUUUGAAACUGUAGUUCUUGAGUACUGGAGAGGCAGACGGAAUUCCUAGUGUAGCGGUGAUAUGCGUAGAUAUUAGGAGGAACACCAGUGGCGAAGGCGGUCUGCUGGACAGCAACUGACGCUGAGGCGCGAAAGCGUGGGGAGCAAACAGGAUUAGAUACCCCAGUAGUC
rnacentral:rRNA from 1 species